rnacentral:lncRNA from 1 species
CCGCUCACAAGCAGGUGCAAGGCCAUCAUUGGGUCCCUCACCUAACAGUUAUUGGGCCCAAUCCUAUCCUUACCCUGGAGCAACUCUUAGCUAAUAGAGUGGUUGCAUGUUCCCGAUGCAACCGAACCAUUGGUGUUGGGUAAAAAUACCCCCCAGUUGAAGUUCGUGUCAGGAGUGACCCUCCAGGGAUUCUACCGACGUCUG